UCUAAGUUUGAUGGCGACCGGCGCACGGGUGAGUAACACGUAUCCAACCUGCCGAUAACUCGGGGAUAGCCUUUCGAAAGAAAGAUUAAUACCCGAUGGCAUAAUAGAACCGCAUGGUUUGAUUAUUAAAGAAUUUCGGUCAUCGAUGGGGAUGCGUUCCAUUAGGUUGUUGGCGGGGUAACGGCCCACCAAGCCUUCGAUGGAUAGGGGUUCUGAGAGGAAGGUCCCCCACAUUGGAACUGAGACACGGUCCAAACUCCUACGGGAGGCAGCAUG
rnacentral:rRNA from 1 species